rnacentral:lncRNA from 10 species
GUAGCUGUGCGGGUCUCCAAAGGCGGCAGUAGGUGCGGGGGCUACUCGGCUACCGUUGCUGCGCCCGUGCACCGCGCAUUCAACGGAUCCUGGCACGUGGCGCUCUGGCCCGCGAGAAGCUAGCGCUUGCCCGUCGGCUCAGGGCAGCUCCUCCCGCGGCGCUUUGUUCCGGGGCCGCGUGACCCCCCCGGCUCCGGCCGGAGGGGUCGCCCAGCGGGAUGCGAGCCCCAGGCUGGCCGCCGCCGCGGCCUUGUGCCCUCCCCCUUGUUUUGUCUGCUGAUUUAGCCCAGCGCCUCCACGGAUCCUUCCCAACUCCACUCAGUCCCAAAGAAAAAGCGGCUGCCCUGCCCGCCGACCGGGACCCCACCCCUAAAGAGAGUCCCAGCCUCUCCCGAGGUUGAGCCGCUCCUCAGCAACAGCGGGACGAGCUUCAAAAGCUUGUUUCAGCUGAAAAGUGGGUAAUGGGGAAGCACGCGUUUUCCUGUGUCCAUGCUCAUCUGGAAAGUCCCUAAUUAGGGACUCUGCAUUCCACUUCUUGAAAUAAUAAAAGGAAAACAUCACUUGCAAUUCUUUGAUGGGUGCUAUGAGCAGAAGCAAGCAUCUGAGACAUUUACAAGCCCUAACUGGAAUUCCAUGUAAGAUCUAUUAAAAUGGUAUUCCGUCCGGACGCGGUGGCUCACGCCUGUAAUCCCAGCACUUAGGGAGGCCGAGGCCGAUGGAUUACCUGAGGUCAGGAGUUCGAGAGUAGCCUGGCCAACAUGGUGAAACCCUAUCUCUACUAAAAAUACAAAAAUUAGCCGGGCGUGGUGGUGCACGCCUGUAGUCCCAGCUACUCGGAGGCUGAGGCAGGAGAAUCGC